UCAGGGUUUAAUGAAAAACAACACUCUGACAAUUAAAUGGAAAUUAUUUUGCAGAGCGGUGCAAUGUUCCCGUUAACAAGCCUGCAACCAAGUCUGUGCCACAGAAGUCAAUGCUUGAGGAUGACCUGAAGAUCAGCAGUGACGAGGAAGAUACUGAACAGCAGGCAGCGGAGAAGCCCAAGCCCAGAAGUACACCUCUCAGGUACGUGGCAGAUCAUGUUGAACUGGCAGCAUUGUGUGGAAGUGUCUCUGUAAUGCAUAUUAUUGCAAUGCAUGGUAUUGGAUGGUUGUACAUCCUGUUCUUUGCGUACUGGUUUGCAAAUGAUCAGUUUUGCACACAGAUAUGUAAUCAGUAACUGUUUAUAUCACACUUCUUCAGAUCAUUGCACUGUAUAGUUUAAUUACAUGUAUCUUUCUCCAGUGUGUUGUAAUUGUAGAGACAAGAUUUAGAGUGUGAAGAUGAGGUUUAUCGUCAGCAUAUUGAAAUUACUACACUGUAGAAUUUAACAGAGAGGAAGAAAACAGGCUAAGUAUAGAAAUGUAUAAUUGCCUGCCGUAUACACAGACACAACUACGAGGUGUGAUCCAGUGGCUGUUCUUCAUGAAUAAUAAUCGUGUAGAAGAGUAGCACAGAGGAUGUACUAAAUUUAAAUACUGCUAGCAUUUUAUUUUAUCGGUUUAGAUAUUAUAUGACCCGCAGGCCUGAAGCAGUUUUUCUCCCCUGUGUGGAGCAGAGCAGAGCUGCGUGGGUUGACACCUUGUCUGGGCUCCCCAGUCUGGGUGCAUUAAUAUGCAUGGAGCAGGAGAAGUAUGGGUGUUCUAUCAUCUCUAAUCAUGGGAGUAUUAUGGCUGCUGUGUGAAUGGGCUCAUUAAGGAAGACAGCGUGAAACAUGGCCUCCAGCUCUUUCUCAGAAAGUGACUCUGGGAGUGGAGAUGCUGCGAGCACUCCCCCGGCCAUGCCGCCCCUGGAACAACACACACACACACACACACAGACACACACGCUCGCGCACCUACAGUGCCUUCAGAAAUGAUUCAUUACUCUUAAAUUAUUUCACUUUUUUUGUGUUACAGACAGAUUUCAAAAUGGAUUAAAAAAUAAAUAAAUCUCACCCAUCUACACACAAUAACCCAUAUUGACAAAGUGAAAACAUGUUUUUUGCAAAUUUUUGCAAAUUUAUUGGAAUAUUAAAUACAGAAAAAAAUGAUUUACAUAAGGAUUCACACACUUGAAUCAGUACAUGUUAGAAUCCCCUUUGGCAGCGAUUACAGCUGUGAGUCUCUAAGAGCUUUGCACACCUGGAUUGUACAAUAUUUGCAAAUGUUUAUUUUUUAAUUCUAUAAGCUCUGUCAAGUUUGUUGUUGAUCCUUGCUAGAUAGCCAUUUUUCAAGUCUUGCCAUAGAUUUUUAAGCCAAUUUAAGUAAAAACUGUAACUAGACCACUCAGGAACAUUCAGUGUUGUCUUGGUAAGCAACUCCAGUGUAUAUUUGGCUUUGAGUUUUAGGUUAUUGUCUUGCUGAAAGGUGAAUUUAUCUCCAAGUGUCUGUUGGAACCAUGUUUUCCUCUUGAAUAUUUCCUGUGGUUAGCUCCAUUCCAUUUAUUUUUUAUCCUGAAAAACUCCCCAGUCCUUAAUGAUUACAAUCAUACCCAUAACACCACCGUGUUUGAAAAUAUGAAGACUGGUAUUCAGUGAUGUGUUGUGUUGGAUUUGCCCCCAAUUUUCUUUUGCAGUUUUACUUUAGUGCCUUAUUGCAAACAGGAUGCAUGUUUUGGAAAAGUUGUAUUCUGUACAGGCUACCUUCUUAUCACUCUGUCAUUUAUGUUACUAUUGUGGAGUAUCUACAAUGUUGUUGAUCCAUCCUUAGUUUUGUCCUAUCACAGCCAUUAACCUCUGUAACUGUUUUAAAGUUACCAUUGGCCUCAUGGUGAAAUUCCUGAGCGGUUUCCUUCCUCUCCAGCGACUGAGUUAGGAAGUAUGCCUGUAUCUUUAUAGUGACUGGGUGUAUUGAUACACCAUCCAAAGUGGAAUAAAUAACUUCACUAUGCUCAAAGGUAUAUUCAAUGUCUGCUUCUUUUUAACCCAUCUACCAACAGGUGCCCUUCUUUGUGAGGCAUUGGAAAACCUCCCUGGUCUUUGUGGUUGAAUCUGUGUUUGAAAAUCACUGCUCGACUGAGGGACCUAACAGAUAAUUGUAUGUGUGGAGUACAGAGAUGCGGUAGUAAUUUAAAUAUGAUGUUAAAU
ensembl:lncRNA